rnacentral:rRNA from 1 species
CCUACGGGUGACAGCAGUGAGGAAUAUUGGUCAAUGGGCGGGAGCCUGAACCAGCCAAGCCGCGUGAAGGAAGAAGGCGCCAAGCGUCGUAAACUUCUUUUGUCGGGGAACAAAUGGCGCCACGUGUGCCUUUUUGAGUGUACCCGAAGAAAAAGCAUCGGCUAACUCCGUGCCAGCAGCCGCGGUAAUACGGAGGAUGCGAGCGUUAUCCGGAUUUAUUGGGUUUAAAGGGUGCGUAGGCGGGUCGGAAAGUCAGCGUGUAAAGGCCGGGGGUCAACCCCGGGGAGGCGGUUGAAACUGUCGGACUAGAGAAGGCGAGAGGUACGCGGAAUGCGCGGUGUAGCGGUGAAAUGCAUAGAUAUCGCGAAGAACCCCGAUUGCGAAGGCAGCGUACCGGCGCCGGACUGACGCUGAGGCACGAAAGCGUGGGUAUCGAACAGGAUUAGAUACCCCAGUAGUC